UAAUUUUAUACAAUUAAGUCAAUUUACAGGUUUUGUAGGUUAUUUUUUUUUUUUUUUUUUUUUUAAUCUAAAUUUUCUAAAAAGUGUGAGAUAUUGAAUAGGAUGGGGGUGAGAAAAUUGAUUUGAGCUUUGGCUUAAUAAUUGUAUAGAGCCUACUCCCACACAAAAAUUUUCUCAAUUCCCUAAUUUGUAUAGAUAAAAUUGUAAUUUCUAGCUUUUCAGUAUUUUUUUUCUUAAUUUUACCUAUGAUAUUCAAUAUAUUUGUAUCA